UACGGAGGGAGCUAGCGUUAUUCGGAAUUACUGGGCGUAAAGCGCACGUAGGCGGCUUUGUAAGUUAGAGGUGAAAGCCUGGAGCUCAACUCCAGAAUUGCCUUUAAGACUGCAUCGCUUGAAUCCAGGAGAGGUGAGUGGAAUUCCGAGUGUAGAGGUGAAAUUCGUAGAUAUUACGGAAGAACACCAGUGGCGAAGGCGGCUCACUGGACUGGUAUUGACGCUGAGGUGCGAAAGCGUGGGGAGCAAACAGGG
rnacentral:rRNA from 1 species